AUUGAACGCUGGCGGCAGGCCUAACACAUGCAAGUCGAGCGGAUGAAGGGAGCUUGCUCCUGGAUUCAGCGGCGGACGGGCGAGUAAUGACUAGGAAUCUGACUGGUAGUGGGGGCUAACGUCCGGACACGGGCGCUAAUACAGCAUACGUUCUGAGAGAGAACGUCGGGGAUCUUCGGACCUCACGCUAUCAGAUGAGCCUAGGUCGGAUUAGCUAGUUGGUGGGGUAAAGGCCUACCAAGGCGACGAUCCGUAACUGAUCUGAGAGGAUGAUCAGUCACACUGGAACUGAGACACGGUCCAGACUCCUACGGGAGGCAGCAGUAGGGAAUCUUGGACAAUGGGCGAAAGCCUGAUCCAGCAAUGCCGCGUGUGUGAAGAAGGUCUUCGGAUUGUAAAGCACUGUAAGUUGGGAGGAAGGACAGUAAGUUAAUAUCUUGCUGUUUUGACGUUACCAAAAGAAUAAGCACCGGCUAACUUCGUG
rnacentral:rRNA from 1 species